AGAGUUUGAUCCUGGCUCAGGGUAAACGCUGGCGGCGUGCUUAACACAUGCAAGUCGAACGCCCCUUCGGGGGAGUGGCAAACGGGUGAGUAAUGCAUAAGUAAUCUGCCCUUAAGUUCGGGAUAACCCUUCGAAAGGAGAGCUAAUACCGGAUACUUUCUUUUCUCCGCAUGAAGAAAAGAAGAAAGAUUUAUCACUUAAGGAGGAGCUUAUGUCUGAUUAGCUAGUUGGUAGGGUAAUGGCUUACCAAGGCGAUGAUCAGUAGCUGGUCUGAGAGGAUGGUCAGCCACACUGGGACUGAGAUACGGCCCAGACUCCUACGGGAGGCAGCAGUGGGGAAUAUUGCGCAAUGGGCGAAAGCCUGACGCAGCGACGCCGCGUGAAUGACGAAGUCUUUCGGGAUGUAAAGUUCUGUAGGGAGGGACGAUUAUGACGGUACCUCCAAAGUAAGCCCCGGCUAACUACGUGCCAGCAGCCGCGGUAAUACGUAGGGGGCUAGCGUUACCCGGAUUUAUUGGGCAUAAAGGGCGUGUAGGCGGUAUUUUAAGUCAGGUGUUAAAGUUUCAAGCUCAACUUGAAGGUGCACCUGAUACUGAAAUGCUAGAGGACAAGAGAGGGAAGCGGAACUCACGGUGUAGCGGUGAUAUGCGUAGAUAUCGUGAGGAACACCAGUUGCGAAGGCGGCUUCCUGGCUUGAUCCUGACGCUGAGGCGCGAAAGCGUGGGGAGCAAACGGGAUUAGAUACCCCGGUAGUCCACGCUGUAAACGGUGUUCACUAGGUGUAGGAAGUAUCGACCCUUUCUGUGCCACAGAUAAUUCGUUAAGUGAACCGCCUGGGGAGUACGACCGCAAGGUUAAAACUCAAAGGAAUUGACGGGGGCCCGCACAAGCAGUGGAGCAUGUGGUUUAAUUCGACGAUACGCGAAAAACCUUACCAGGGUUUGACAUCUGCAGAACUCCCUAGAAACAGGGAGGUGCCCGCAAGGGAGCUGCAAGACAGGUGGUGCAUGGCUGUCGUCAGCUCGUGUCGUGAGAUGUUGGGUUAAGUCCCGCAACGAGCGCAACCCUCAUUCUGUGUUGCCAGCACUAACGGUGGGAACUCACAGAAGACCGCCUGUGUAAAGCAGGAGGAAGGUGGGGAUGACGUCAAGUCAUCAUGCCCCUUACGCCCUGGGCUACACACAUGCUACAAUGGCCGGUACAAAGAGCUGCUAAGCCGCAAGGUGGAGCCAAUCUCAAAAAGCCGGUCUCAGUACGGAUUGUAGUCUGCAACUCGACUACAUGAAGCUGGAAUUGCUAGUAAACGCAGAUCAGCAACGCUGCGUUGAAUACGUUCUCGGGCCUUGUACACACCGCCCGUCACACCAUGAGAGUCAAAAACACCCGAAGCCAAUGAUUCAACCCUUUGGGAGAUAAUUGUCGAAGGUGGGUUUGGCGAUUGGGGUGAAGUC
rnacentral:rRNA from 1 species